UCUUUGGUGGCCUAAUGGUUAAGGAUCUGGCAUUGUCACUGCUAUGGUGCAGGUUCGAUGCCUGGCCCAGGAA
rnacentral:tRNA from 1 species